rnacentral:rRNA from 1 species
GACGAACGCUGGCGGCGUGCUUAACACAUGCAAGUCGAACGGAAAGGCCCUGCUUUUGUUGGUUUCUCGAUUGGCGAACGGGUGAGUAACACGUGAGUAACCUGCCCCUGACUUUGUGAUAACUUCAGGAAACUGGGGCUAAUACCGGAUAUGAUCUCCUGCUGCAUGGUGGUGGUUGGAAAGUUUCGGCGGUUGGGGAUGGUCUCGCUGCUUAUCAGCUUGUUGGUGGGGUAGUGGCUUACCAAGGCUUUGACGGGUAGCCGGCCUGAGAGGGUGACCGGCCACAUUGGGACUGAGAUACGGCCCAGACUCCUACGGGAGGCAGAAGUGGGGAAUAUUGCACAAUGGGCGGAAGCCUGAUGCAGCAACGCCGCGUGCGGGAUGACGGCCUUCGGGUUGUAAACCGCUUUCGCCUGUGACGAAGCGUGAGUGACGGUAAUGGGUAAAGAAGCACCGGCUAACUACGUG